UGCUGUAAUUAUCCCAAAACUAAGCACUAUAAGACCAGGAAAUUCAGAGUUAAGAUUAACUUUAAAAUAAAUCCAAACAUCCCAGGCAUUACAUGCAGU